rnacentral:tRNA from 1 species
AUGGCGCCAACUACGGCCAGAGUCCGCUGUUCUUCAGCAACGGCCAGCGCACCAACCUGCCGCGCUCGUUCAACUCCAGCGCGCCGUG